UGCACGACCGAGAGUGCCCCUUUCUUGUUUUUCUUUUAUAUUGACGAAGCUAUUGUCCGGUUAAAAUAUUAUUGAUUAUUUAGGCUAAAAACAACAUGAGGAUUGAUUAUAAACACUGUUUGACAUGUUUCUAUGAACUUUACGAAUACUAUUUGGAAUUGUUGUCUGCCUCUUGUGACCGCGUUUGAGCCAUUGGAUUACUGAACAAAACGCGCCAACAAAAAGGAGGUUUUUGGAUAUAAAGAGGGACUUUAUCAAACAAAAUGGACAUUUAUUGUGUAACUGGGAGUCUUGUGAGUGCAACCAUAUGAAGAUCAAAGGUAUCAUGGCUUGAGAUUUAUUUGAGGAAGAAAUCAUCAAGAGAUACGCUGGACCCUAUGUCAGAGAGAUGUUUCUUUUACACAUUGUUUCUUUCAAGACAGUGACCCAAAACUCUGCCAAGCCGAC
rnacentral:lncRNA from 1 species